UCAGUCGACUCCUACGGGGAGGCAGCAGUGGGGAAUAUUGCACAAUGGGGGAAACCCUGAUGCAGCCAUGCCGCGUGUGUGAAGAAGGCCUUCGGGUUGUAAAGCACUUUCAGUAGGGAGGAAGGUAGUGUAGUUAACACCUGCAUUAUUUGACGUUACCUACAGAAGAAGCACCGGCUAACUCCGUGCCAGCAGCCGCGGUAAUACGGAGGGUGCGAGCGUUAAUCGGAAUUACUGGGCGUAAAGCGCAUGCAGGCGGCCUGUUAAGUCAGAUGUGAAAGACCCGGGGCUUAACCUCGGAAUUGCAUUUGAAACUGGCAGGCUAGAGUCUUGUAGAGGGGGGUAGGAAUUUCAGGUGUAGCGGUGAAAAUGCGUAGAGAUCUGAAGGAAUACCAGUGGCGAAGGCGGCCCCCUGGACAAAGACUGACGCUCAGAUGCGAAAGCGUGGGGAGCAAACAGGAUUAGAUACCCUGGUAG
rnacentral:rRNA from 1 species